rnacentral:rRNA from 1 species
AGGAUGAACGCUGGCGGCGUGCCUAACACAUGCAAGUCGAACGUCCUUGCUCGCAAGAGCAAGGGAGUGGCGGACGGGUGAGUACCACGUGGGUGAUCUACCGUGAGGUGAGGAAUACCGGCGAGAAAUCGCCGACAAAACCGCAUAGCCUCGGUGCAAGCCGAGGAAAGCUCUCGCAAGAGAGCGCCACACGAGGAGCCUGCGCCCGAUUAGCUAGCUGGUGGAGUAACGGUUUACCAGGGCGACGAUCGGUAGCUGGUCUGAGAGGACGAUCAGCCACACUGGGAUUGAGAACGGCCCAGACUCCUACGGGGGGCAGCAGUGAGGAAUUUUCGUCAAUGGGGGCAACCCUGAACGAGCAACGCCGCGUGCAGGAAGAAGGUUUUCGGAUCGUAAACUGCUUUUCUCGGGGAAGAGAACGGACGGUACCCGAGGAAUCAGCCCCGGCUAACUACGUGCCAGCAGCCGCGGUAA